UACGAAGGGGGCUAGCGUUGUUCGGAAUUACUGGGCGUAAAGGGCGCGUAGGCGGCUACGGCAGUCGGGUGUGAAAGCCCGGGGCUCAACCCCGGAACUGCAUCCGAUACUCUGUGGCUAGAGACCGGAAGAGGUGGGUGGAAUACCCAGUGUAGAGGUGAAAUUCGUAGAUAUUGGGUGGAACACCGGUGGCGAAAGCGGCUCACUGGUCCGGUUCUGACGCUGAGGCGCGAAAGCGUGGGGAGCAAACAGG
rnacentral:rRNA from 1 species